GUGCUUGCUUGGGUAGCACGUGUACUAAAAUUAGAACUGUGUAGAGAUUAGCCUAGCCCCUGUGCAAGAUGACACACAAAUUUGUGAAGCAUUCCAUAUUUUU
ensembl:snRNA U6 U6 spliceosomal RNA